rnacentral:lncRNA from 1 species
UCGAUGUUGACAUUCAGUUAUAUCAACACGGCUCUUAGCCAAUCAGCGUUCAGAAUUUACAAAUGCUAUAUUAUAAUAUUAAAUCUUAUUUACACGCAUACAAGCAAUGGUAGCCCUUCAGCAAAAUAUUGUAGCAAAGCUGAUUUCCAAGGGGCCGUUGACUAAUAAAAAAUAAAAAACAAAAAGGAUCAAAAUGUAUACACACAGUCUUAAACAUAUACCCUAUAUACAUGAUAUACACACCCACCCUCCC